UGCUUUUGCUGGUGUCCUGCACCUGAAAGUUGUGAUGCUAAAGGCUCAUCUUAUAUUUUCUACCCCAUUGACCAUUUCUCUAUUUGACUGUGCCACUGGGAGACCGUAUUUACAAACUGAGUAUUUUGAUGUAAUGACUGUGAUUUCACCGUCAGAAUUUGGGUGACUCUAGGACAUGGGCAAGAUCAGGUUGUAGACUUCUAGGACUGAAGGCCAUGUGUGGAUCAUGGUAAACUCACCAAAGCAAGUAAUGCCCUUAAGAGGAUCCUGCAGAAGCUUGUCAUUGCUUUCUUUUGUUGACACCCAGUCUUUGCUGUAUUACAUUAAAGUUGCAUAAAUCCAAAAAAAAAAAA